GAUGAAGAACGCAGCGAAAUGCGAUACGUAAUGUGAAUUGCAGAAUUCAGUGAAUCAUCGAGUCUUUGAACGCACAUUGCGCCCCCUGGUAUUCCGGGGGGCAUGCCUGUCCGAGCGUCAUUGCUGCCCUCAAGCACGGCUUGUGUGUUGGGCCUCCGUCCUCCUCCCGGGGGACGGGCCCGAAAGGCAGCGGCGGCACCGCGUCCGGUCCUCGAGCGUAUGGGGCUUUGUCACCCGCUCGGGACGGACUCGUCGGCGCUGGUCUUCCUCCAGGCGACCCUUCGGGGCUCGUCUUCCUUCGGUUGACCUCGGAUCAGGUAGGGUUACCCGCUGAACUUAAGCAUAUCAAUAAGCGGAGGA
rnacentral:misc_RNA from 1 species